ACAUUCCUUCGGGGCAGGGUGAAAUUCCCGACCGGCGGUGAUCGCGCCAAAAGCGCGUAAGCCCGCGAGCCUCCGCGAUGCGAAAGCUUCCGGAGUGCAGGAUCUGGUGCAAAUCCAGAGCCGACAGUACAGUCUGGAUGGGAGAAGGAUGAC
rnacentral:ncRNA from 2 species